UCUAGCUAUACGCCGUAUAUUGCUAUUUCUUUCUCCUUCAAAGUGUCUGGUCACAAAAAAACCUAGAGCUCCAUCAAAUUUAUGCACCUUUCAUUUCUCUCUCUGGCUAUAUGCCAUUACUAUUAAUUCCUCCCUCAAAGCGGUUGGUCGCAGAUUUAGCUAGAACUCCAUCUAAUAUACGCAGUAAUUUGUAGAUGCAUAAUGAGUGAGGGAGCAGAGAGUUUGCAAAUAUGGAUAUUGCUCAAGACUUGUCAGAUGCAGAAUGGGAUAGAGAAUUUAUUAAAUGGUUUAAAGAUAGGAUUCAUUAUGAAGACUGAAAAUGAGGAUAGAUCAACUAUGAAGAGUACUAUCAGAUAAAGUUUUUGCACACCUGGUGCAAUUGGAAAGGGACGAGGACGAGAGGUCAGAUCAUUGACAACAAAUGGGAAAAAUCUAACUAAGAGUUCAUUUUAUCAACCUAAUGAUCUAGUUAAGCAAUACAUCCAAUAAUUAGAAACAAGUAAAUGUUUUCAAAUUUAUUAGAGUUUUUAAUUGCAUAAAUAACUUGAAUUAAACCCCAUGGCUUACUUUUGGGUUUAUAGUUAUGUCGUUUUCUAUAUUUUUGUUAUUAUUGCAACAUAUGUAAUCUUGGCACCUAUCAUUUAAUUGUGAUUAUGCUUCUGGGAUAUCAAAGACACCCUAAAUAUGUUCGCAGUUUCUUCAAAACCAUACUUCUAAUGUUUGAACGUAAAAGACACCCUAAACAUAUUUUUAGAUUCUUCAAGCUCUGAAUUGUUAACAUAGCACCAGGUUAUGAUAUUGUUGAAUGGUGAUUUAAGAAAUUAUAUAUUACAAUUUUACUUGGCAUCGGUUUGUCAACUUUUUGUCCUUUGUGCAUUACAAUUAGUUAUUUCUAUCAAGUAAAAUAUCUAUAAUUAUGGAUGGAAUUUUAGCUCAUAGAUGGAUAUGUUGUGAUUGCUGUGUGGAAAUGGAGUGUUUCUUAUGCAACUUUUCUACUUGAUCUCAUUUUUAUCAGUUAAAUUAAUGUCCUUUAGUUCCUCAAAUACUUCUUUCCCCAUCACUGGCACCAACAAGGCUUGUUGUUGGGAAACCAUGGACCAUCCUUAGCUAUAAUAGUAUUCAAGCUCGAUAUUUCAGUAGCACAUGUACCUUGCAUCUCUUUAAAAUAGUUAAAAAAUUCUUGUUGCACCUCUACUGGAUCUAUAAUUCUUACCCCUAAUUCAUUACAAAUGGAAGUGAUUCUGUUUCUAUUUUGCCUAACUUUUGGGUAAGCAUAGAAAUAUUUUGUCUUUGCAUCUCCAUAUUUAAUCUAAGUUGGUCUUGAAUUCUAUCUCAAGACCUAUUCAUGUAUAGAAAACCAUUUUUCCAUCUCCAGUAUAGUAAUCUUCUUCUCCAAAAUCCACUGAGGGUUGAAUAGAUCAUCUUGCAUUAACAUCUGAAUUUGACACAAUUUCCCUACAACUUUUCUAGCCUUUUAUCUAGUGAAGAAAACUCAUUCUGCAUUGUAUUGGCAUACCUUUCAAUUAUCUUUAAUUUUCUAAAGAAGACAUACAUAAUGGGACCCUCCACAUUGUGUUUCCAAGCUUGGUAAACCGCCUCCUUGAAGUGUUGUUGUUGCAAUAGUGCAUUCACUAGGUGAAAUGGUCUAGGAAACUUAUUUUCUAUGUUGUCAAAAGUUAGCUUUAUCCAUUUACAUGUUAAAUAAAGAAUAAAGUUAGUUGUCAGGUGUAGUUUGUGCCACUGUGCAUACAAGUUAGAAUGUCAAUAUUUUCUAUAGUACCAGUGCAGUCAGUAAUAGCAUUUAUAUUACUUGAUCCUUUUGACAUACCUACAUUGAAGGGUGUUGUGACAAGAGGUGCACCAGAGAAAGGUAAAUAUGCACUAUUUGUUAGAGAAGAGGGUACACACACACACAUCUAUAUACUAUUUGUUAGAUGAUGAAGGUAUAGAUGCACCAUAUUUACUCUAUUGAAUUUGUUUCCUGUGGGUUCUCAUAAUUAAAUUGUAACAUAGAUAAUUUUCUAUAGGCUACUAGAUAAUCCAAUCGGGGGAAGAUGAACUUUUGAGAUUUGGAGUGUGCGUAGAAUAGCCAGUGCCAGGUUUACUUCAUGAACUUAAUAGUUCUUAAAAAUCCAUAAUAUUAGUAUUUCUUACUUUAUAUAAUCAUACUAUGCCUUCUUAAAAAUAAUCAGACUAUGGCUACUUUUCACUUUCAUCAUUCGGUUUAUGUCUCCUAUUUGAGAUAAAUUAAAGUGUUCAACAUAUUAUGCCCUAGGCUUUGGUUCAAAAGUACGCUAAUACAAUGUGGUAUAUGUGGUUGGUGGACGUCAUAAGUUUAAAUUAGUGAGCCAAGUUUGUUAUUUAAGUGGAGAAGAUCAUAGGGUAAACCUAUUAUCCACUGAGUUUUGGAGCUGCAAGUAGUGAAUUUGUUGUUAUAAACGAAUAAAACUAUAACUCAUUUCACAUCUGUGUUCCAGAAGUCUAAAUCUCAAAAGUAACCAAAACCUAAAAUAUUGUAUGUGUUUUCUCUUAAAUUAGAUAUGUUUUCUGACAUGUUACUCAAUCUAACAAUCAGUCCAGUAAGCCCCAAUCCAAAAUUAUUGCAGUUUAUGAAAUACCACAAAAUACUAUGGUGAAUUCCAAUUGAUAUUUCUGGCUCCCUCCCCUCUAUAUCCCCGAUAACUCCAUAGUGCUUCUUACUUAACCCUUUAUAACCAUUUCCAAGAAAAACUCUAAUACUAAAUUUGUCCCUGUGAUUAAUGAAACUAUUUACCUGGUAAAAAAAAUAGCAAUAUUGAAAGCCAUUGAGGAUGAACACUCAUUUAUUUGAAGGGCAGAAGCGAUCCUUUUUAGGAGUGAAAAUAUAUGGUCUUGUUACACCAGUCAUAUUAACCUUAAAACAUGAAGCUCAUACAACUGUAUAUUUGUUUUGGGAGGUUCUAUUGGGAAAGGACGAGGAAAAGGACUUACAAACGCUACCAUGUGUUUUAGUCAAGUAAUGGGAACGAUGAUACGCUAGAACAUCAUGGUUCAUGAGAAAGGGCAUAUGAAAGUUCAUACUCCAUUUUCUCCAUCGACUAAUCAAGUUAAGAAAUUCACCAAAGAGGCUGAAACAAGUGCUAUUGGAAAGGGACCAGAAGGACUUAAAACCUUUACCAUGUCUUCUAGUCAACAAAUGGGAACGAUACAUAAGAACUCUAUGGUUCGUGAGAACGAGUAUAUACAAGUUCAUACUCUAUUUUCUCCAUCGACUAAUCAAGUUAAGCAACGGACCAGAGAGGCUGAAACAAGUGCUAUUGGGAAGGGACCAGGACUUAAAAACUUCAACAUGUCUUCUAGUCACGGAAUGGGAACGAUAUGUAAGAACUCCAUGCUUCAUAAGAACGAUUAUAUGCAAGUUCAUACUCCAUUUUCUCCAUCGAUUAAUCAAGUUAAGCAAUGCACCAAAGGGACUUAAACAAGUUCUAUUGGGAAAGGACCAGAAGAAGUUCAUACUCCAUUUUCUCCCUCUACUGAUUGAGUUAAGCAAUGCACCAAAGAGGUUGGAAAAAGUAAGUUUUUCCAAAUUUGUUGAGUAUUUGUCCACAUGCAUCACAUCAUGCUUAGUGUAGGUGUUUCUUAAUGUUUUUCCAAAUCUACUCAGUAUUUGUUCACUUUCAUCAUAUCAUACACAUGUUUUCUCCUUGUUAGGGGAUUCUAUUAAUAAUGUGGGAUCUAAUACCUAGAUAUUUGUGCUCCUUGUUAUGAGUUUUUAAGAAUAAUGAGGGAUAUAAUCAAGGAAUGCGAUCAAUGGAUAAUAAUCCUCUGAUUCUUGGGAAAGAGAACAUGCAAACCAAUAUUUCAUUACCUCCAUCUAUUGAUCAAGGUAUUAAACCCUCCCAAACUACUGAAAUAGGUAUGAUACUUUAGAAUUAAUGCAUUAUUAAAUAUAUAGAAUUGAAUUUUAUUAGUAUAGUUCUUACCAAAUUAUGCAGUUGUAGGAUUAUCUAAUCCUAGAAAGGUAAAAAGAGUUUGAGGGAGCAACAAGUGUAAGGAAGUUGCAUCACUUGAAGUCGAUCAGAAGCUGAAAGUAACCUUUUACAAUAAUCGAACGGUUGGAAAAAAUAGUAAUCUAUUUUUGAUACACUUGGAAAAAAUAAUUUGUGAUAGUAACAGGUGUCCAUUGACCGUAUCAUCAUGGAGUAAUAUUAAGAAACAAAAUUAGGAUCACAUGUGGGCAGCUAUUGAGGUAACAAAUGUAGUAUAUAGUAUGAAUGGGCAUUUGUACCCUUUUUUGUUUCAUUCUAUCUGAUGUUGUGUAUUUAUUAUUGUAGGAUAAAUUUGAGAGUGAUAACAUGAAUGAUCAUCACGAUCAUAUCUUUGGGUGGAUGAAUGCAUUGUGGAACAAAUGGAGAGGAUAAGUACAUAAAUUUGCAUUUCAAUAUAUGCAAAGCUUAUUGUUUAAGAAUAACAUAAGUGGGAAGUAGAAGGAAUACAACAAACUGAGCUAAUUUGACAAUGCUUCAUCUAUUGUUAGCAAGCCUAUUCAAGAAUAAUGUAUCAGCAGGGUGGGAAAGAUGGCAAUCCUCCAAAUUUGGGUACUAUUUUCUAUGAGACUCGUAGGAAAGACAACAAUCUUAUCAAACUUGAAGCAAUUGAAAAACAUUAAAUGUUGAGAUGCAGGGGAACCAAGAAUAAUGGAAGCAAAAAGGCUGAAAUAUGAAGCAAAUAAAAGACAAGUGUGGCUGACGACAUUCAUGAUAAGUCAUCAGCCUAGUGAUAAUCUUACAAAGAUAGUGAGACUUAAACAGGAGAUGAGUUUCCGCUGAAAGAGUUAACGAUAUUUUGUGAUAGACCGUCAGGAUGGUGAUAAGGCGUCAAGGAUACCGUCAGACUAAGACAGGACAUGAGAAUUGGAGAAGGAAUGUGAUGAUGUUCUUGAUAAGCCAUCAAAAUCCUGAUAAGCCAUUGUCAUCGUUGUCAGUCUUAAAGAACAAGAGCCAAACUUGAAGAGGAGCUGACGACAUCCGGGAUAAGUCAUCAGACUCCUGAUAAGCUAUCAUGGAUGUCAUCGUUAAUUCCAAGGAAAACCUAAAACCUUGAUUUUUGUUUUCAUAAUUAGGAUAAACUAUUUAAAUCUUUGUUUUAGUUUUUUAUAGAGGAGAGAUGGCAGACAUUAUUUGACACUUUAAGUUUUGACAAUAUACUUGGAUUUUUUUUCUCUCUACUCCUAGACUUUAACAACACGACUAUUUUAAGAGAGUAUUAUCAGUAUUUUGUGAUUUUCUCUUGUGA